CCCUUAGAUGUCCUGGGCCGCACGCGCGUUACACUGAUGCAUUCAACGAGCUUAUAACCUUGGCCGAGAGGCCUGGGCAAUCUUGUUAACGUGCAUCGUGAUAGGGAUAGAUUAUUGAAAUUAUUAAUCUUGAACGAGGAAUUCCUAGUAAACGCAGAUCAUCAAUCUGCAUUGAUUACGUCCCUGCCCUUUGUACACACCGCCCGUCGCACCUACCGAUUGAAUGGUCCGGUGAAAUCCUCGGAUCGAGCUGCGGGGCAACCCCGGUUCGAGAAGUUGAUUAAACCGUACCAUUUAGAGGAAGGUGAAGUCGUAACA
rnacentral:rRNA from 1 species